rnacentral:rRNA from 1 species
CUCAGUUCGGAUUGAAGGCUGAAAUUCGCCUUCAUGAAGCCGGAAUUGCUAGUAAUGGCAGGUCAGCAUACUGCCGUGAAUACGUUCCCGGGCCUUGUACACACCGCCCGUCACACCAUGAGAGUUGGGAAUACCCGAAGCCUGUGAGCUAACGUUAAGAGGCAGCAGUCGAAGGUAGAAUCAAUGAUUGGGGUGAAGUCGUAACAAGGUAAC